rnacentral:lncRNA from 1 species
CACAAGCUCUACUGGACAACUGAGGAUGAAGGUGCCCCUGAACAAUCCCACCGGAAAGUGGCAGGCUUGGGAAAUACAGUCGUGCUUGCUGGAGCCUCUCUGCCCCGCCAAGAGGCCUGAGUGCCUUUUAUUAAACAGAGGACUAUUCAACAAUAAAUAUUUCUCACGCAAGGCCGGAGGAGUUACCAUACUUGGCUCCCUCCCAGCCUGGCUGAGUCAGCAGGGAAUUUGCCAAGGUGCGGAAACCUUGUGUUCUGUGGUUUUGGUGUGUUGAUAUUUUUUAAAUACUGAGCCGGAGAGCCUGAAGACUGCAAAACACAUGUGGAUGCACCACCCCCAUGGGUUCUGAUCCUGGGAAACAUGGAUUAGGCUCCUAGGGUGCUGGGAAGCUACAGGGGGGAAUGGGUGGGUGGACGAUUUGGGAAGGUGUCAAAGGCAAUGAUUUCUCAAACACAGUUUCUUUUUCUACAGAAUGGGCUGAAAUAAGGUAUAGACCCAGGGAUGCUGUGAGAUUAAGAUUUUCGAAGUGCAGGGGCUUUAGCAGGGAGAGCGCUGGACUUGGAUUUCAAUCCUUCCUGAUACAGUUACGACUUAUCGGCUGUGAGUCCCUGGCCCCUGUUGGGCACCUGCAGGAGGCAGACAAGGACCUGGCUCAGAGGAUGACUGGGCACGGCCUCCUCAUCUUGGUAAAGACGACGGGGCUUCCCACUCUGGAAGGAGAGAAGCCAGCCCUAAACAUGGUGCAGGGCCUGGGGGCCUCUGUGGUCCAGGAGAUGUCCUUCUCCACUCCUUCACUUCUCAAAUACUGGGCUCCUCCCUCCUUGAAUUGCCCCCACCCAGGGCCCAACCAGAGGCCAGAUAUCCCCAGAGGCAUGAGGAUAGU